GGCAAGAUGGCCGAGCGGUCCAAGGCGCCACGUUAAGGUUAACCUUGAUUACAAUCACCUCCAUUCCUCUCCACAAGAGAAGAAGGCUUGAUUCCGUGGUCCGAAAGGGCGUGGGUUCGAAUCCCACUCUUGUCA